rnacentral:ncRNA from 1 species
UUAUAAUCUACUUCUGUUUAAAUUGGAAAUUGUAGUACAAAUAUUACUGGCCUACCCCCCCAAUAAUUAUGCUUCCUGAGUUAAUUUGGUUAAUUUGUUUAAGUUUGAUUCUUGCUUUAUUUUUAAUUAUUUUAAUUGAUUUAUAUAUUUAUUUAUAUUAAUUUUUAUUUUAUAGUAAGUAGUAUUUUUAUAUUUGCUGAGGCAAAUUGAGUAAUUUAUUAUUAGAGUUGAUAAAUUCUGUGCCAGCAUUCGCGGUUAUACAGUUAACUUAAGUUAAAUUUUUUGGUUCUUUAUUAAUUUGUUAAUUUUAGAAGUUUUUAUUUUGUUAUUUAGGUGAAAUUUAUAGUUAUUUUUUAUUCUUAAUUUAAUUAAUUGUACUUUUAUAAUUCAAAAUAGGAUUAGAUACCCUUUUAUGUUUAAAUUUAAUAUUAGCUUGAAUAAAAGUAGUUUUUACUUCAUAACUCAAAGAAUUUGGCGGUUAAUUUUAUUUUCAGAGGAACCUGUGUGUUAAUUGAUAAACCACGAUAGUUUAUACUUUCUAUUUACUUAUAUAUCUCUAUUUAAUGAUUGUUUUUAUAGAAAAUUAUUUUCUUUUAGUUUUAUCAAUUAUGUUAGGUCAAGGUGUAGUUUUUAGAAUAGUUUACAUGGGUUACUUUAGUUUUAAUUUUAAUUAAAGUUUUAUUAUUUUUAAAGUUUUUUUUAGGAUUUGAAAGUAAUUUUUAUUAAUUUGUCAUUUUGAAUAUUUUUUAAAAUUAGUGUACAUAUUGCCCGUCACUCCUAUUUUAGGAUAAGUCGUAACAUAGUAACCCCACCGGAAGGUGGGGUUAGAGGAUG